rnacentral:rRNA from 1 species
UUGAUCCUGGCUCAGGACGAACGCUGGCGGCGUGCUUAACACAUGCAAGUCGAACGGUGAAGCGCUUUCCUUUUUGGUUGGUGUGGAUGAGUGGCGAACGGGUGAGUAACACGUGAGUAACCUGCCCCCUUCUUCUGGAUAACCGCAUGAAAGUGUGGCUAAUACGGGAUAUUCUGCGCCUGCUGCAUGGUGGGUGUGGGAAAGAUUGUGCCUUUGGGUGUUUUCGGUGGGGGAUGGGCUCGCGGCCUAUCAGCUUGUUGGUGGGGUGAUGGCCUACCAAGGCGGUGACGGGUAGCCGGCCUGAGAGGGUGGACGGUCACACUGGGACUGAGACACGGCCCAGACUCCUACGGGAGGCAGCAGUGGGGAAUAUUGCACAAUGGGCGCAAGCCUGAUGCAGCGACGCCGCGUGAGGGAUGGAGGCCUUCGGGUUGUGAACCUCUUUCGCCAGUGAAGCAGGCCUGUCCCUUUUGUGGGUGGGUUGACGGUAGCUGGAUAAGAAGCGCCGGCUAACUACGUGCCAGCAGCCGCG